rnacentral:lncRNA from 1 species
AAUCUCACUAAGAUAAAUAUAAAAUAUAUCUCGUUUACCAUAGGAGAGGGCUAUGGUAUCUGAUAAAAUAGUGGGAGACAUAACUAAUUUUAAAAGUUCUCAUCUAGUUAUACAUGUCAAACAUGAGUAGUCUGCUUAUACUAUUAUUUUAUGUAGAUUUAAGUCUAUAUUAUGAAUUUUUUAUUUUCAUCCCAUGAUACCAUAAAUAAAACUAUGUUGAUCGAUACAACUA